rnacentral:rRNA from 1 species
GAUGAACGCUGGCGGCGUGCCUAAUACAUGCAAGCCGAGCGAACGGACGAGAAGCUUGCUUCUCUGAUGUUAGCGGCGGACGGGUGAGUAACACGUGGAUAACCUACCUAUAAGACUGGGAUAACUUCGGGAAACCGGAGCUAAUACCGGAUAAUAUUUUGAACCGCAUGGUUCAAAAGUGAAAGACGGUCUUGCUGUCACUUAUAGAUGGAUCCGCGCUGCAUUAGCUAGUUGGUAAGGUAACGGCUUACCAAGGCAACGAUGCAUAGCCGACCUGAGAGGGUGAUCGGCCACACUGGAACUGAGACACGGUCCAGACUCCUACGGGAGGCAGCAGUAGGGAAUCUUCCGCAAUGGGCGAAAGCCUGACGGAGCAACGCCGCGUGAGUGAUGAAGGUCUUCGGAUCGUAAAACUCUGUUAUUAGGGAAGAACAUAUGUGUAAGUAACUGUGCACAUCUUGACGGUACCUAAUCAGAAAGCCACGGCUAACUUCGUG